AAAAAUGAUAUUAUUUGUCUGGCCUUUCUCACGUAUAAGAGUGGCCUCCCUUGAAGCCAGGUUCUCGUUGCCAGGCAAUAUUAUAGGUGGCGCCGCUGGCAACAUGUGCAUGUGAAAACGAAAGUAGAUUGUUUAUCUAGGAAUUAUUACAACAUUUUACCCUUCUACGUUGAAUUUUAAGAUAUAAUAGUAUGAAUAUUGAGAUGAUUAUUUAGUUACCUUCAACUGGUCAGUGGUCAAAAGGGAGUAUUUCUGUGUGUCUUGAAGCAUUGAAUGCCCCAAAACAACCAGUAUGAUAAGAAGACCAGAGUAUACAGCUUCCCAAAAUGUUGAAAGACUAAGCUGUAUUUCUAUGGACU